rnacentral:rRNA from 1 species
GAUGAACGCUGGCGGCGUGCCUAAUACAUGCAAGUCGAGCGAACGGACGAGAAGCUUGCUUUUCUGAUGUUAGCGGCGGACGGGUGAGUAACACGUGGAUAACCUACCUAUAAGACUGGGAUAACUUCGGGAAACCGGAGCUAAUACCGGAUAAUAUUUUGAGCCGCAUGGUUCAAAAGUGAAAGACGGUCUUGCUGUCACUUAUAGAUGGAUCCGCGCUGCAUUAGCUAGUUGGUAAGGUAACGGCUUACCAAGGCAACGAUGCAUAGCCGACCUGAGAGGGUGAUCGGCCACACUGGAACUGAGACACGGUCCAGACUCCUACGGGAGGCAGCAGUAGGGAAUCUUCCGCAAUGGGCGAAAGCCUGACGGAGCAACGCCGCGUGAGUGAUGAAGGUCUUCGGAUCGUAAAACUCUGUUAUUAGGGAAGAACAUAUGUGUAAGUAACUGUGCACAUCUUGACGGUACCUAAUCAGAAAGCCACGGCUAACUACGUGCCAGCAGCCGCGGUAAUACGUAGGUGGCAAGCGUUAUCCGGAAUUAUUGGGCGUAAAGCGCGCGUAGGCGGUUUUUUAAGUCUGAUGUGAAAGCCCACGGCUCAACCGUGGAGGGUCAUUGGAAACUGGAAAACUUGAGUGCAGAAGAGGAAAGUGGAAUUCCAUGUGUAGCGGUGAAAUGCGCAGAGAUGUGGAGGAACACCAGUGGCGAAGGCGACUUUCUGGUCUGUAACUGACGCUGAUGUGCGAAAGCGUGGGGAUCAAACAGGAUUAGAUACCCUGGUAGUCCACGCCGUAAACGAUGAGUGCUAAGUGUUAGGGGGUUUCCGCCCCUUAGUGCUGCAGCUAACGCAUUAAGCACUCCGCCUGGGGAGUACGACCGCAAGGUUGAAACUCAAAGGAAUUGACGGGGGCCCGCACAAGCGGUGGAGCAUGUGGUUUAAUUCGAAGCAACGCGAAGAACCUUACCAAAUCUUGACAUCCUUUGACAACUCUAGAGAUAGAGCCUUCCCCUUCGGGGGACAAAGUGACAGGUGGUGCAUGGUUGUCGUCAGCUCGUGUCGUGAGAUGUUGGGUUAAGUCCCGCAACGAGCGCAACCCUUAAGCUUAGUUGCCAUCAUUAAGUUGGGCACUCUAAGUUGACUGCCGGUGACAAACCGGAGGAAGGUGGGGAUGACGUCAAAUCAUCAUGCCCCUUAUGGUUUGGGCUACACACGUGCUACAAUGGACAAUACAAAGGGCAGCGAAACCGCGAGGUCAAGCAAAUCCCAUAAAGUUGUUCUCAGUUCGGAUUGUAGUCUGCAACUCGACUACAUGAAGCUGGAAUCGCUAGUAAUCGUAGAUCAGCAUGCUACGGUGAAUACGUUCCCGGGUCU